rnacentral:rRNA from 1 species
UGGGGAAUAUUGGACAAUGGGCGCAAGCCUGAUCCAGCCAUGCCGCGUGUGUGAAGAAGGCCUUUUGGUUGUAAAGCACUUUAAGCGGGGAGGAGGGUACUCUUGUUAAUACCAAGAAGUAUCGGACGUUACCCGCAGAAUAAGCACCGGCUAACUCUGUGCCAGCAGCCGCGGUAAUACAGAGGGUGCGAGCGUUAAUCGGAAUUACUGGGCGUAAAGCGCGCGUAGGCGGUUAUUUAAGUCGGAUGUGAAAUCCCCGAGCUCAACUUGGGAAUUGCAUUCGAUACUGGGUAGCUAGAGUAUGGGAGAGGAAGGUAGAAUUCCAGGUGUAGCGGUGAAAUGCGUAGAGAUCUGGAGGAAUACCGAUGGCGAAGGCAGCCUUCUGGCCUAAUACUGACGC